rnacentral:rRNA from 1 species
GACGAACGCUGGCGGCGUGCCUAACACAUGCAAGUCGAACGGGGUGAUUCCUUCGGGGAUCACUUAGUGGCGAACGGGUGAGUAACGCGUGAGGAACCUGCCUCUCAGUGGGGGACAACAGUUGGAAACGACUGCUAAUACCGCAUAAUGUUUUCGGACCGCAUGAUCUGGAAACCAAAGAUUUAUGCUGAGAGAUGGCCUCGCGUCUGAUUAGCUAGUUGGUGGGGUAACGGCCCACCAAGGCGACGAUCAGUAGCCGGUCUGAGAGGAUGAACGGCCACAUUGGGACUGAGAUACGGCCCAGACUCCUACGGGAGGCAGCAGUGGGGAAUAUUGGGCAAUGGGGGAAACCCUGACCCAGCAACGCCGCGUGAAGGAAGAAGGCC